GAGCGACCUACUUGCACUUCAGAGUAAAGGGGCGGGGCUGUAUAUAGGUGUGCUCUAAUUAAAAGUGAAGCCUGAAGGCAAAACAUUGGUUGAUGAUAAAGAAGCAGAGCAUCGAUCAUCUUAGAGAGAGAUAGUCAGGAUGCGUGUGUCGGCGAUGGCUCCUCCAAAGAGGCUACACUUGUGGGGGGCAAAGAUGAUGGGGGCCACAAUGUGGUGCUGGAUAUUGUGGAGGUUCAAGCACGACUGGAGGGAUGUCUUGGGUCAUCAUGAUUCACUGGAACCACCGCCACUAGCUGACACUGUCAAGAACUGAACUAUCGAUCACUACCACCAUGCACUUAGCAAUCCUUUAGUGUGUGAUAUCUGUCUGUAAUUAAUGUCUGUACAUUGUCUAUAAUUUGUUAUCGUCAAUUUG